GACGGGGGAUGCAAGUGUUAUCCGGAAUCACUGGGCGUAAAGCGUCUGCAGGUGGUUUCCUAAGUCCACUGUUAAACCUUGAGGCUCAACCUCAAAUCUGCAUUGGAAACUAGGAAACUUGAGUAUAGUAGGGGUAGAGGGAAUUUCCAGUGGAGCGGUGAAAUGCGUAGAUAUUGGAAAGAACACCGAUGGCGAAGGCACUCUACUGGGCUAUUACUGACACUCAGACGCGAAAGCGUGGGGAGCAAACAGG
rnacentral:rRNA from 1 species